rnacentral:rRNA from 1 species
UACAGAGGGUGCGAGCGUUAAUCGGAAUUACUGGGCGUAAAGCGCGCGUAGGCGGCUUUGCAAGUCGGGUGUGAAAGCCCUCAGCUCAACUGAGGAAGUGCGCCCGAAACUGCAGAGCUUGAGUACCGGAGAGGAUGGCGGAAUUCCCCAAGUAGAGGUGAAAUUCGUAGAUAUGGGGAGGAACACCGGUGGCGAAGGCGGCCAUCUGGACGGAUACUGACGCUGAGACGCGAAAGCGUGGGUAGCAAACAGG